UUCAUCGCUCGCGAUGUUUAACUGACUUGAAUGGUACGUCCUACCGGUGGGCUUAGCUCCUCUAGGGGGGCGGUCCAGCUAAUAUCCCAUCGCGGUGCUCUUAAGUGAGUGUCGGGGCGGGCCGGUACGUUUACUUUGAACAAAUUAGAGUGCUCAAAGCAGGCUAUCUUUGCCUGAAUAUUUUUUGCAUGGAAUAAUGGAAUAGGACCUCGGUUCUAU
rnacentral:rRNA from 1 species